rnacentral:lncRNA from 1 species
CGCUCUUUGGAACUCCCUGCCCAUCCUCUCCGUCACCUCUCCUCCCUGUCCCAGGCAAGGAGAAGGUGGUUUGUGGUACAGCACACUCUACAGAGAAACAGCGGAGGCCGCACAGGUCAGUUAGAGUUAAGAAGUUUACACCCAGCGCUUCUACUCAAGUCCAGUCUUAGCUUGUUUCUUAUGCCCCAAGUAGCCCGCUUGUGUCCACAGCAGUCGAGUAUUAUCCAGUGAAGACACCAAUAACAUUAGCAAUGUUAAAAAAAAUAAUCAGUAUAUAUAUAUAUAUAUAUAUUAUAUAUAUAUGUGUGUGUGUGUGUGUGUGUGGUUAAGAUAUACAUAUAUGUAUAUAUAGAUGUGGUUAAAAUAUAUAUACAUAUAUAUAUAUGUAUAUGCAUGUAUACACACAUAUAUAUGUAUGCAUGGGAAAACCCAUCAAAUACACCCCUAUAGUCUUCCUGGCUCUGUUAUUUAGCAGCAUGAAACAAAAAAAUAAAAUAAAACAGUUCAAAACCCAAAGGUGAAUUCUGUGCGGCGGGUGCCUUGGGGAAUGUUCCUUCCGGAGUCCAUCGUCCGUACUGAAAGUGCUGUGCUCUACCGAUCCUUCAUUUUUAGGGUUCAUUUGGAUUAGUGUUUUGUUUUGUAUUUUUCUGUCCAGGCGAGAAAUCAGGCUCCAGAAACAGGGCUGUUCCCCCUUCUUUUCCGCUGCUCACCGUCUCGGUUUUUCACAUAAGCUGGGUGGUUUGUACCGGCCUUUCUUGCGCUUUCUCUUUUGACCCUUCCCCUUUCCUCG